rnacentral:rRNA from 1 species
AGCGAACGCUGGCGGCAGGCCUAACACAUGCAAGUCGAACGAACCUUUCGGGGUUAGUGGCGGACGGGUGAGUAACACGUGGGAACGUGCCUUUAGGUUCGGAAUAACUCAGGGAAACUUGUGCUAAUACCGAAUGUGCCCUUCGGGGGAAAGAUUAAUCGCCUUUAGAGCGGCCCGCGUCUGAUUAGCUAGUUGGUUGAGGUAAUGGCUCACCAAGGCGACGAUCAGUAGCUGGUCUGAGAGGAUGAUCAGCCACAUUGGGACUGAGACACGGCGCAAACUACUACGGGAGGCAGCAGUGGGGAAUCUUGCGCAAUGGGCGAAAGCCUGACGCAGCCAUGCCGCGUGAAUGAUGAAGGUCUUAGGAUUGUAAAAUUCUUUCACCGGGGACGAUAAUGACGGUACCCGGAGAAGAAGCCCCGGCUAACUUCGUG